rnacentral:lncRNA from 1 species
CAGCCCUCACUGGAAAGGGGCAGACUGGGCUGGGGGAAUCCGGAUCCUUGGGAAGCUUCAAGAGGGAAAGAGGGCAGGAGUCACCUAACCUGAAGUCACUCUAUGUCCAAGAGAGAAAAACAACUUACACAGACCAUGUCUUGGGAACUAGAGCUGGCCAUUCUUCUUCAGGCUUCCUCCCCUGGGGGACAAAAAGAAAGCCAUUCACUGCAUUGUGACUUGAUGUUCCCAGGCUGACUUCUGUCACUGUGAUGUCAUCGACUACACUUAUUUCUCAAGCCUCCCCACUCACUCUCUCCCCUCCCACCGCUCACAGCCUCCCACACACAAAUUGGAAGCACACAGGAGUCUACACAAAGCUGAUCACCUCCUAACCCAGACAACCCACGGCCAAGGGGGCAGUGUGGGAGUGCAGGGCACAAACAUAUCUGCCUUGAACUCCUCCAGAAGAGGCCAGCAGAAGGGAUCCAUCUUCCACCCUGAGCUCCAGCUCGCCCUGCACCUGGGCCGCUCCUCCUACUGUGCGCAGAUCUCAGAUCUUCCUACUGGAACCCCACCUAUCAAGGCUCACAGGGGCUCACAGCAUCCAGGUGGCCCCUCCUGUGUAAACUCAGGGCUGAAGCACAGCGAGGCUGGAGGGGCUGCAGCUGUGAUGCUCAGGCAGCGUCCAGCAUUCUGUGCCCACUGUUAGUGAAUGGGACUGUGCACCAUGGACCACUCUCCUGAGAACCUUCCCUCAUCUAUGAUAACACUUAUGUUGUCUCAAGCCAUGAUCCUUUAUGAAGAUAAUUAGCUGUAAAACAUCCUGUCACAGGAGGUGAGGAUACAGAUGUGUAUUGAAUAUUCCAAGCUUUCAACAUGGAUGAAAAAUUGCACAUAUGUAGUCUCCCCUCCCCCAGCCUGAAACCUGCUUGUUCUGGGGUGGAGCUUCCUGCUCAUUCGUUCUGCCAUGCCCACUGCUAGAACCUGCCGCCUUGCUGUUCUGAAGCCAUCACGUGCUCACCCUGCUACUGGAUCCGAGAUUAUUUGGCGGGAAUCGGGUCCCCUCCCCCUUCCUUCAUAACUGAGUGUUGCAACAGUAAAAAUGGAGCUUUGAU